AGCCCCGUGGUGAGAUCACAUUAGGUUGCAAACCUAAAGACGCAAACCACCCGUUUGCCGGGGCUU
rnacentral:tRNA from 1 species